UCGACGUUUUUUCAACAUGGCGCCUGUCACGUCGCGUUUUGAAGUACAGCUGCUCCCAACUUUGCGAAAAUAGAAGAUCUUUACAUCAUUAUUUUAUACUUUCGAUGUAGCACACUAUCAACGAAUAAUGUCAGAGCAGGAUGAGUCGAUGGAUCCAGAAGUGGCGAAGAAGCUUUUGCGAGAGGGUGCCACGUUGGUUUUCCUCGACAUCCCGCCGGGAUCGGAGUUUGGCAUGGACAUGGUGCCUCACAACACGGGCGAGAAGUUCAAGGGGAUCAAGCUGAUUCCCCCUGGGUUGCACUUCGUGUUCUACAGCGCAGUGAGCAGUGCCGGAACGACAGCUCCGAGGACGGGAUUCUUCCAUUACUUUCAAGGUGGAGAGGUGCUCGUCAAAAAAUGGGACCGCAUUGCGGAAGAUAUACAGAAAGAAGAGGUGUCCCAGGAGGAAGUGGAGAAGUUCCGCAGUCAUCUCGAGGGGGACCUCGACAGAUUCCUCGGUGUUUAUGCCUAUCACGACUGGCGCAGGUGGAUUUCAUUGACGAAGCACAUCUCCGAAGACGUCCUGAAGCGACUCCAGCCCGAGAGCGGGAAGAUCUAUUCCGCGACUCCCUUCGAGCCCCUUCACUUUCUCUCGGAACGCAGCGGGCACAGGGAGGUGUCCGCGGGCGAUCCCGCGGGAAAGUCGGACCCUAUAGAGCUCAAGGAGGCGGCCGGCACCGCAGUACGCUACACGCCUUUUCCGAAGCACAAGUACCCCGACAACGCGAGCCCGGCAGAGAUCACUCAUCACAGCAUCGACUCGACGUACCUUCUCGACACGCUUCUGGCCGCCUGUCCGGAAGAGGGCGGACUGCUGGGCGAGCUACAGUUCGCUUUCGUCUGCUUCCUGGUCGGACACUCGUACUCCGGCUUCGAACAAUGGCAGAAGAUCAUCCGCGUCCUCUGCACCAGCGCCGACGCGGUUCCGAGACAGGUUGACCUGUACGAUUCCCUGCUCUCGGUGCUGUACUUCCAGCUGCGCGAAAUUCCGUCGGACUUCUUCGUGGACAUUGUGUCGAGGGAGAACUUUUUAACGGCGACGCUGUCGGAACUGUUCAGGAACAUUGCCGAGGCCGGAGCGGGGAACGCCGAUCCGGGGCUGGAGUCGUUGAAGAAGAAAGCGUUGAGGUUUAAGGGCAGCAUCGGCAAGCUGUUUGGAUGGAGCUUCGACGAAGAGCCGGACGACGAGCAGCCUGUCGUGGUGGAUCUUGCGGAGCAGAAUUGAUGCUUCUCACUGUGUCUAGUGGACUCAUUUCAUUAAUUUGCUCAGGAAUUUACUGAAUGUCAAACGAAGCAUUCUCACGAAUUUUGUGACAGCCAUUCGCCCAAAAAGGAGUAUUGCCUUUUUUUUUUGUUUUUUUUUUGUACCCAUCGUAUUAAAGUGGCAUGACUCGUU